GUAGGGAAUAUUGGGCAAUGGAUGCAAGUCUGACCCAGCCAUCCCGCGUGCCGGAAGAAGGCCCUCAGGGUUGUAAACUGCUUUUAUACGGGAAGAAAAAAUACUACGUGUAGUAUACUGACGGUACCGUAAGAAUAAGGAUCGGCUAACUCCGUGCCAGCAGCCGCGGUAAUACGGAGGAUCCAAGCGUUGUCCGGAUUUAUUGGGUUUAAAGGGUGCGUAGGCGGAUCUUUCAGUCAGUGGGGAAAGCCUGCAGCUUAACUGUAGAAUUGGCAUUGAAACUGAAGAUCUUGAAUGUGGUUAAAGUAGGCGGAAUGUAUCAUGUAGCGGUGAAAUGCUUAGAGAUGAUACAGAACACCGAUAGCGAAGGCAGCUUGCUGAACCAUUAUUGACGCUGAGGCACGAAAGCGUGGGGAGCGAACAGGAUUAGAUACCCGGGUAGUCC
rnacentral:rRNA from 1 species